rnacentral:rRNA from 1 species
GACGGGGGGGGCAAGUGUUCUUCGGAAUGACUGGGCGUAAAGGGCACGUAGGCGGUGAAUCGGGUUGAAAGUGAAAGUCGCCAAAAAGUGGCGGAAUGCUCUCGAAACCAAUUCACUUGAGUGAGACAGAGGAGAGUGGAAUUUCGUGUGUAGGGGUGAAAUGCGUAGAUAUCGUAAGGAAGACCAGUGGCGAAGGCGGGUCUCUGGACAGUUCCUGACGCUGAGGCACGAAGGCCAGGGGAGCAAACGGG